rnacentral:lncRNA from 1 species
CUAUUUGGGCCUCACAUCUCCAUAAUCGAUGGUUGGUGGAGAAAAUCGGAGAUGCAAUCCGUAGCCCUUGCAAGGAAUCAUCAACUGGAUGUGCUCCACCCAUUGCUGUGCCUCCUCCUGAGGUAGGAUUGGGAUCCAAGGUCGAGGAUGAUGAAUCUCCCAUUCCCACCAUGGAUGCUGAUAUAGAGGUCAUCUUCUUUGUUUCCGGUAUCACUCUAAUACCAAGUGACACAUAUGAAAGGAUCCCAGAGCUAAUCCCAACAAACGUGAG